rnacentral:tRNA from 4 species
GCCCAGAUAGCUCAGUCGGUAGAGCAGUGGACUGAAAAUCCGCGUGUCGACGGUUCGAUUCCGCCUCUGGGCA